rnacentral:rRNA from 1 species
GUCGAGCGCCCCGCAAGGGGAGCGGCAGACGGGUGAGUAACGCGUGGGAAUCUACCCUUUUCUACGGAAUAACGCAGGGAAACUUGUGCUAAUACCGUAUGUGUCCUUCGGGAGAAAGAUUUAUCGGGAAAGGAUGAGCCCGCGUUGGAUUAGCUAGUUGGUGGGGUAAAGGCCUACCAAGGCGACGAUCCAUAGCUGGUCUGAGAGGAUGAUCAGCCACAUUGGGACUGAGACACGGCCCAAACUCCUACGGGAGGCAGCAGUGGGGAAUAUUGGACAAUGGGCGCAAGCCUGAUCCAGCCAUGCCGCGUGAGUGAUGAAGGCCCUAGGGUUGUAAAGCUCUUUCACCGGAGAAGAUAAUGACGGUAUCCGGAGAAGAAGCCCCGGCUAACUUCGUGCCAGCAGCCGCGGUAAUACGAAGGGGGCUAGCGUUGUUCGGAAUUACUGGGCGUAAAGCGCACGUAGGCGGAUCGAUCAGUCAGGGGUGAAAUCCCAGGGCUCAACCCUGGAACUGCCUUUGAUACUGUCGAUCUGGAGUAUGGAAGAGGUGAGUGGAAUUCCGAGUGUAGAG